UUUUCCUUUGCAGAAUGUAAUUCGUGUAUACUUAUUGGAGGCUGCUGAUUUAACCUCCGGAGACUUCAUUCCAGGAGCAUACAAUUCCUAUGUUGUCACCUACGGAGGAGGCAAGAAAGUAAAAACCAAAGUGGCCAAAAACAACCUUAAUCCAGUUUGGAAUCAGGCAUUUCAGAUGCCUCUUACAGAUCUGCCACUGCAAAAGAUUGAAUUUCAAGUGCUGAGUUGUAAUAUGGGUGAUAAUAAUCUUUUGGGCAGGUGAGCUUUUAUUAUUAUUUUCACCCUGUUUCCAUGUCUGUCUAAGCCAUAGUGGUAGAUAUAUCCCCAGUGAAUAGUUAUAUGCCCUUUCUGGAUCUCAGCUACUAUGUUGCUCUGUUUCUUUUUGUGUAAUCGGCCUCUUAUUCCUCUCUCCCUUGUCUAGCUGCCAGAUCAGUGUUGAGGAGAUCCUUAGACAUCCUGUCACUGACAUGGUAAGAACUUUAUAUCACAGUAGCACAAAGGAAUCAUUUUACGCAUGGGGCUAUGGCAAUUUCACCAUAAACAUGCUUUUUCUCUUAUAAUGAGCACUGUGGCCCUCUGCACUUUGCACUGAAUGUUGUGUAUUUUUCCCCUACAGUGGCUCCCAUUGAAGAAUGCAUCUUCUGGGAAGCUUCAUGUCAGAUUUGAACAACUUAGUCUUACUCAAGACACCGAAAAGCUUGAACAGGUGCUGAUGGAGAACAAAAUGUCUUCAGCUGUGCAGAUUAAUAAAUUUGUUCCAGCUCUGCUCUAUGUCUAUGUUAGAAGUGCAAAGGACCUUCAGAUCCCAAAAUCAAACAAGUUGCCCACAUCCAGGACAGUCUUGAAGGUUGGGAAUACUGUUUCCAAAACUAAGGCCAUCAGAAAUAGUAAGGAGCCAGCAUGGAACAAGUCAUACCAUUUUCCAAUAAAGGACCCUUAUGAGGAUGAAUUGCAUAUUGAGGUAUGGUUAACAGUCCUGGCUUAUGUUUCUAUUCAUAUCUGUGGCAGUCUAUGAUGAUCUUGUGCCUCUUUGCUUUGUUUGCUGUUAUUCUUCAGAUUCUUUUCCUUGUUGUUUCUGGGACACUUACAGUUUGUUUUUGCAGGUAAAAGAUGUGCGUCACGGGUGCCUGGGCACUUUGUCUGUGUCACUCGGUGAGCUACUUUUGGAAGAAAACCUUGCCAUGGAAGGAUGGUUUAGACUGCAUUCGCCUGAUUCUCUGGCUUUCAUCAACAUAAGAAUGGAGUUGAGGAUUCUAGUUCCUCCUUGUCAUGAUGAGAGUGCAGAGGAAGAGACUUCCAGUGAUAAGGCAUUUUGUAUACAAAGAUUGCCCAAAAAGAUACUCAAACCAUCAAAGGAUGGAGAAACCACUGGGACAUCACAUGGAAAGGAAACCACUGGGACAUCAAGGCAAAGUGAAGCACCUAGGACAGCAAGAAAGAAAUCUGAGGCAUUGAAAGGCAGAAUCGAACGGGCAGCAAAAUUUGUAUGCAAGCGGUUCUGCCGCUGCCCCUAACUUCAGACUGGAAAUUAAUUCACGGCUUAUCAUGUACCUUGCAUAUCAUCUGCCUGGAUAUUAUAGAACUGUCAAGGGGGUUAUGGAGGUGGGAUGGAACGUGGAUCCACAUUGGGCAGAUGAUACGACAGUGCUGGUGGUGGAGGAGGGAAGGUGGUUGCUGGUUGGCUAAGGGGAAUGUGUAGUUCACCCCUACGAUACCAGCCUACGAAGACUACUGGCUUGAAACUGUAUGAACAGCAAAGAUAAUGUCAACAAAGCAGUACUUCUAUAAGCCAAUCAGUAAGCAGGUGCUUUUCUUUACCAUCCGCCUGGAUUUGAACAUUGUAUUGAACUUUGCCUUAUACCUGCUAUCUGCGCUGGGAUGAGCAGCUUCCUUAAAAAGUCCACUUCAAUCAGACCUCACAGCGAAUCCAGAAAAACCAUCGGGAAGCGCAUGAAAAUAUAAAACAAUUUAGAACAAAUAGUGUAAUAUGUUAAAUAAAAAAAAUUACACCAUGAGUGUAUAUGUGCCACAUGAAGAACUUUUUAAAAGUGCUUGGUGCAGUUUAAACUCCUCCUAUAUAAAUAUAUAAAUCUCCUGCCCUUGAUUUUUGGAGAUCAGAGGCAGUGUGUUGUUCUUGAAUAGGCAUUAUUUUCAUUUUGGGGUCUGUAUAAUACAUAUAUAUUUUUAAUCUUUUGCACUUAAUUAUAUAUGGGAGAUAUGAUACUGUAGAAUGCAAGCCUUUAGGUGAUUUUUAACAAUUGCAUUUAAACUGCAAAUUUUAGCUUUGACAUUUAGUAGAUUGAAGUAAAAAGACAUAUUUACCCAUUCUGAAUUUGUCUGAAUGUGUUCUUA